GACUACAGGGGUAUCUAAUCCCGUUUGCUCCCCUAGCUUUCGCGCCUCAGCGUCAGUUUAAGGCCAGAUAUCCGCCUUCGCCACCGGUGUUCUUCCUGAUAUCUAUAGAUUUCACCCCUACACCAGGAAUUCCGAUAUCCUCUCCAAAACUCUAGAUUAGCAGUUUUAGGCGCAGUUUCUCAGUUGAGCUGAAAGCUUUCACACCUAACUUACCAAUCCGCCUACUCGCCCUUUACGCCCAAUAAUUCCGAACAACGCUUGCCCCUUACGUCUUACCGCGGCUGCUGGCACGUAAUUAGCCGGGGCUUAUUCAUAAAAUACAGUCAUAUUCACCAUAUAGAUGAACUUUCAUCUCUUAUAAAAGGACUUUACAACCCAUAGGGCCUUCAAUCAUCCACGCGGCGUCGCUCCGUCAGACUUUCGUCCAUUGCGGAAGAUUCCUCACUGCAGCCUCCCGUAGG
rnacentral:rRNA from 1 species